GUCCUUCAAAGACUGAUCGCACAGGCUUUCAGGCAAAACGAACUAUGCCACCCCCUCCGUUCGAAUGAACCACCCGUAACCCUACAGUACGCCGAUGACACACUUAUUAUUGCUGCUGCCAGCGUCGCAGCAACCACUAUUCUCAAAAACACUCUGCAUGAUUUCGCCCUAGCAACUGGCCUAGUCAUCAACUGCCAAAAAACCUCGCUUCUCACCAUUGCCACAGAUGACCUCACCCAAAACAACAUCGCUGCAACUAUUGGAUGCAAUCUCUCCUCCUUCCCGUUAAUCUACCUAGGCCUCCCUCUCUCCCCUCUCAAACUACCACUCUCAGCUUUCGACCCUAUACUAGAUAGCUUUCGAAAACUCCUUUUCGGAUGGGUUGCG
rnacentral:rRNA from 1 species